GAUGAACGCUGGCGGCGUGCUUAACACAUGCAAGUCGAACGAAGCACUUUAUUUGAUUUCCUUCGGGACUGAUUAUUUUGUGACUGAGUGGCGGACGGGUGAGUAACGCGUGGGUAACCUGCCUUGUACAGGGGGAUAACAGUUGGAAACGGCUGCUAAUACCGCAUAAGCGCACAGCAUCGCAUGAUGCAGUGUGAAAAACUCCGGUGGUAUAAGAUGGACCCGCGUUGGAUUAGCUAGUUGGUGAGGUAACGGCCCACCAAGGCGACGAUCCAUAGCCGACCUGAGAGGGUGACCGGCCACAUUGGGACUGAGACACGGCCCAAACUCCUACGGGAGGCAGCAGUGGGGAAUAUUGCACAAUGGGCGAAAGCCUGAUGCAGCGACGCCGCGUGAGCGAAGAUGUAUUUCGGUAUGUAAAGCUCUAUCAGCAGGGAAGAUAAUGACGGUACCUGACUAAGAAGCACCGGCUAAAUACGUG
rnacentral:rRNA from 1 species